UAAUCUCAAAGUGUGUAGCGCUCUGCUAUUGUGAAGACUUCUAGCAAUGUUUACCAGGGAGAGAUGGUCAGCUCUUUAAGGCAGGAAGACUUCUACCAACUCGUACUCAGUUGGCAAGCCCCCUCUUGAAGGCAAAGGAUGCAACUUGGUUCAUCGGACUUCUUGUGCAGGUUGAACAGGGGGUUCUUCUUGAUCGUUCGAUAAGAAGUGUAUUCUUUGGUGUAUACGUAAGCUAGCUCUUUAAAGCUAUUGAUCGACCCUGAUAGUAGGGUGUGAAACCAAUCCUGGGCUACUCCUCGUGAAGUCAUGACAAAU
rnacentral:lncRNA from 1 species